UUUUAUUGCUCCUUAGAUCGGUGUUGGACCGGCGAACAAUUUAGGCCUAUGUUAUCAGAGGACUUGCUAACAUGAAGAAAACGGUCCAGAGGUUCCACCUGAGAGCCGGGACUGUCACAUAGUAAGAGACAACGAAAAGGGGGGAACUGUCUUUAAGCUGUGGAGUCAGAUGGAGGGCUCGCAUUUACCUCAAAAACGGCAUUGCAGAAGACUCGAACAACUAGAACCAACUCAAGCACACAAUGGUGACACACAUUUGUAAGACCUUUCCCUGUGAUAAUUAUUCAGAUUCUUCUCAUUCUCAUUGUGCAGCACUGUUUUAA